UUACGGCCAUAUCACGUUGAAACACCAGUUCUCUUUAUAAUCACCGACGUUUAGCAACGGCGAGCCUGGUCAGUACUUAGAUGGGUGACCGAUUAGGCAUACCAGGUGCUGUAAG